AACGAACGCUGGCGGCAGGCCUAACACAUGCAAGUCGAGCGAACCCUUCGGGGUGAGCGGCGGACGGGUGAGUAACGCGUGGGUAACCUGCCCUAUACACACGGAUAACGUACCGAAAGGUACGCUAAUACGGGAUAAAGUUGUUGGAUGGCAUCUUCUAACAAUCAAAGCUCCGGUGGUAUAGGAUGGACCCGCGUCUGAUUAGCUAGUUGGUGAGGUAAUGGCUCACCAAGGCGACGAUCAGUAGCCGACCUGAGAGGGUGAUCGGCCACACUGGAACUGAGACACGGUCCAGACUCCUACGGGAGGCAGCAGUGGGGAAUAUUGCACAAUGGGCGAAAGCCUGAUGCAGCAACGCCGCGUGAGCGAUGAAGGUCUUCGGAUCGUAAAGCUCUGUCCUCAAGGAAGAUAAUGACGGUACUUGAGGAGGAAGCCCCGGCUAACUACGUGCCAGCCGCCGCGGUAA
rnacentral:rRNA from 1 species